UACGUAGGUGGCAAGCGUUGUCCGGAAUUACUGGGCGUAAAGGGUGCGUAGGCGGAUAUUUAAGUAGAAAGUGAAAGGUUGGAGCUCAACUCCAACAUUGCUUCCUAUACUGGAUGUCUUGAGUUUCGGAGAGGAAGAUGGAACGACACGUGUAGCGGUGAAAUGCGUUGAUAUGUGUCGGAACACCAAUAGCGAAGGCCGUCUUCUGGACGACUACUGUCGCUGAGGCACGAAAGCCAAGGUAGCGAACCGG
rnacentral:rRNA from 1 species